ACUCCUACGGGAGGCAGCAGUAGGGAAUCUUCCACAAUGGGCGCAAGCCUGAUGGAGCAACACCGCGUGAGUGAAGAAGGGUUUCGGCUCGUAAAGCUCUGUUGUUAAAGAAGAACACGUAUGAGAGUAACUGUUCAUACGUUGACGGUAUUUAACCAGAAGUCACGGCUAACUACGUGCCAGCAGCCGCGGUAAUACGUAGGUGGCAAGCGUUAUCCGGAUUUAUUGGGCGUAAAGAGAGUGCAGGCGGUUUUCUAAGUCUGAUGUGAAAGCCUUCGGCUUAACCGGAGAAGUGCAUCGGAAACUGGAUAACUUGAGUGCAGAAGAGGUAGUGGAACUCCAUGUGUAGCGGUGGAAUGCGUAGAUAUAUGGAAGAACACCAGUGGCGAAGGCGGCUACCUGGUCUGCAACUGACGCUGAGACUCGAAAGCAUGGGU
rnacentral:rRNA from 1 species